rnacentral:rRNA from 1 species
UACGAAGGGUGCAAGCGUUACUCGGAAUUACUGGGCGUAAAGCGUGCGUAGGCGGUUCGUUAAGUCUGAUGUGAAAGCCCUGGGCUCAACCUGGGAAUGGCAUUGGAUACUGGCGACCUAGAGUGCGGUAGAGGGGUGUGGAAUUCCCGGUGUAGCAGUGAAAUGCGUAGAUAUCGGGAGGAACAUCUGUGGCGAAGGCGACUCCCUGGACCAGCACUGACGCUGAGGCUCGAAAGCGUGAGGAGCAAACAGG